rnacentral:rRNA from 1 species
GAUGAACGCUGGCGGCGUGCCUAAUACAUGCAAGUCGAGCGAACAGAUAAGGAGCUUGCUCCUUUGACGUUAGCGGCGGACGGGUGAGUAACACGUGGGUAACCUACCUAUAAGACUGGAAUAACUCCGGGAAACCGGGGCUAAUGCCGGAUAACAUUUAGAACCGCAUGGUUCUAAAGUGAAAGAUGGUUUUGCUAUCACUUAUAGAUGGACCCGCGCCGUAUUAGCUAGUUGGUAAGGUAACGGCUUACCAAGGCAACGAUCCGUAGCCGACCUGAGAGGGUGAUCGGCCACACUGGAACUGAGACACGGUCCAGACUCCUACGGGAGGCAGCAGUAGGGAAUAUUCCGCAAUGGGCGAAAGCCUGACGGAGCAACGCCGCGUGAGUGAUGAAGGUCUUCGGAUCGUAAAACUCUGUUAUUAGGGAAGAACAAAUGUGUAAGUAACUGUGCACGUCUUGACGGUACCUAAUCAGAAAGCCACGGCUAACUACGUG